GACGAACGCUGGCGGCGUGGAUUAGGCAUGCAAGUCGAACGGUAUCAUCCUUUCGGGGGUGAGAGAGUGGCGAACUGGUGAGUAACACGUAGGUUAUCUACCCUCAAGACGGGGACAACCCAGGGAAACUUGGGCUAAUACUGGAUGUGAGCAACUUUUAGUUGUUUGAAAGGUGGCGUAAGCUGUCGCUUGGGGAUGAGCCUGCGUCCUAUUAGUUAGUUGGUGAGGUAACGGCUCACCUAGGCAAUGAUAGGUAGGCGGCCUUAACGGGUGGUCGCCCACACUGGGAUUGAGAUACGGCCCAGACUCCUACGGGAGGCAGCAGUCGAGAAUAGUCUACAAUGGUCGGAAGACUGAUAGUGCGACGCCGCGUGAACGAUGAAUCCCUUCGGGGUGUAAAGUUCUUUUAUAUGUGAGCAGUGCUUCUUAUAUUAACAGUAUGGGGAGAGAGAUAUUAGCAUAUGAAUAAGCAACGGCUAACUCCGUGCCAGCAGCCGCGGUAAACUCG
rnacentral:rRNA from 1 species